UAGAUGCAAUAUAUCAACCUAGUCCUUUGGAACCUGUGAUCAGCACAAUGCCUUCCCAGACUGUGUUACCUCCAGAACCUGUUCAGUUGUGUAAGUCAGAGCAGCGUCCAUCUUCCCUACCAGUUGGACCUGUGUUGGCUACCUUGGGACAUCAUCAGACUCCUACACCAAAUAGUACAGGCAGUGGCCAUUCACCACCGAGUAGCAGUCUCACUUCUCCAAGCCACGUGAACUUGUCUCCAAAUACAGUCCCAGAGUUCUCUUACUCCAGCAGUGAAGAUGAAUUUUAUGAUGCUGAUGAAUUCCAUCAAAGUGGCUCAUCCCCAAAGCGCUUAAUAGAACCUGUUUGAUUCACAUGAUGACAGAGAUGAUGAUGCGGAGGCAGGGUCUGUGGAGGAGCACAAGAGCGUUAUCAUGCAUCUCUUGUCGCAGGUUAGACUUGGAAUGGAUCUUACUAAGGUAGUUCUUCCAACGUUUAUUCUUGAAAGAAGAUCUCUUUUAGAAAUGUAUGCAGACUUUUUUGCACAUCC
rnacentral:lncRNA from 1 species